rnacentral:rRNA from 1 species
AGUGAACGCUGGCGGUAGACCUAACACAUGCAAGUCGAACGGCAGCACAGUAAGAGCUUGCUCUUACGGGUGGCGAGUGGCGGACGGGUGAGGAAUACAUCGGAAUCUACUUUUUCGUGGGGGAUAACGUAGGGAAACUUACGCUAAUACCGCAUACGACCUACGGGUGAAAGCAGGGGAUCUUUGGACCUUGCGCGAUUGAAUGAGCCGAUGUCGGAUUAGCUAGUUGGCGGGGUAAAGGCCCACCAAGGCGACGAUCCGUAGCUGGUCUGAGAGGAUGAUCAGCCACACUGGAACUGAGACACGGUCCAGACUCCUACGGGAGGCAGCAGUGGGGAAUAUUGGACAAUGGGCGCAAGCCUGAUCCAGCCAUACCGCGUGGGUGAAGAAGGCCUUCGGGUUGUAAAGCCCUUUUGUUGGGAAAGAAAAGCAGCAGGUUAAUACCCCGCUGUUCUGACGGUACCCAAAGAAUAAGCACCGGCUAACUUCGUG